rnacentral:rRNA from 1 species
GACGAACGCUGGCGGCGUGCUUAACACAUGCAAGUCGAACGGAAAGGCUCCAGCUUGCUGGAGUACUCGAGUGGCGAACGGGUGAGUAACACGUGGGUAAUCUGCCCUGCACUCUGGGAUAAGCCUGGGAAACUGGGUCUAAUACUGGAUAUGACCUUUCUCCUUAUGGGGUUUGGUGGGAAGUUUUUCGGUGUAGGAUGAGCCCGCGGCCUAUCAGCUUGUUGGUGGGGUGAUGGCCUACCAAGGCGACGACGGGUAGCCGGCCUGAGAGGGUGAUCGGCCACAUUGGGACUGAGAUACGGCCCAGACUCCUACGGGAGGCAGCAGUGGGGAAUAUUGCACAAUGGGCGGAAGCCUGAUGCAGCGACGCCGCGUGAGGGAUGACGGCCUUCGGGUUGUAAACCUCUUUCAGCAGGAACGAAGCGUAAGUGACGGUACCUGCAGAAGAAGCACCGGCUAACUAUGUG